UCGCAAUGCUAAGCGAAGCAUGUUUGUAUAUGUGUGCGUAUGUGCGUGUGUUUGUGUGUACGCAUGUGAGGCUCAAAUGCCUAAAUAGAAUUACGGAAAUUUAAGGAAAGAAUUGCACAAUUGGCGAAAAAUGGAAAUGCAUGUAUGUAAUGUGGCUACGAGUAUAAGGAGUUCGAGUUGAAUCGGGUUUGUUUACACAUACGCACACAGGCUAAUGCGCUCGUGAGUUGGUUUGAGUGCUCGAAAAUGGGCGGAAAAGUGGGUUGAUGAGGUUAUGCGAAAUGAAUGAGUGUCACGGUAAGAAUCUGAUCGAUGCUGUAGACAGCGCGUGGCCUUGAGACUGGGCCAUCCUGUACUGGACGCAAGCCCGGCGCGAUGAUGGGAUGAG